CAUAGGGGUAAAAUAUUAGCUAAACUCCAAAUUAGCCAAAAGAAAAAGAAAAAAAGCCUAAAUUAGUCAAAACAGCUAACAUGUAGCACAGAUAUAAGCUAAAUGCCAAAUUAGCCUCAACAAUUGGUCAAAUGUGAAUCAUUAUUUAACCAAACAAUCAGUCGAUAUUAAUAAAUAGUCAUAGUUCAGACUGCAGACAGGAAGUCAUGCUCUAUGUGGGUCUCAAUCAGAGUUUCUGGGUGGGGCGGCCGCCCAAAUGGGUCAUAGUUUGGGGACCCCUGGUUUAUAGUGAGGAAGGAAAGUAUAAUAAAAGCUCAAAAAGUAGAAUUUUCAUGGUAUGCUAAGCUCAUGCAAUGCCCCAGUGGUUUAAGACCUUCACUAGUGAUGAACUGCAACUAAUAAUAAAAAAGAAUUAAAAAAAAAAAAAAAAAACAAAACGGGAUUAUUUGUAAUAGGAAAAACACAGACCAUAAAUUUCAGUGGCAUAUUUUUUCUCCCUUCUGCCUCUACAGAAGGAAAGAAUGACUGAUCUACUAAUAGAUCAAAGACACAAAGACAAAGUGAUGCAAACUUUUGGUGAGACAUAAAGAAGAGUCCUGCCCUCCACUGCUAAUGAAAGUCACAGUUGUCUUUCUCUGCUGCUUUCCUUCAGCUUCAAUCAUAACAUGGAAACACGAUUCAGCUCAUCAGCAGCAAGAAGGAGACGGAGGGCCGGAAAACAAAACAUCUGAAUGUCUUGGAUAUAUUAUUGUAAUUGUGUAUUGACUUUGAUAAAUAAAGCUUAAGUAUGAACA